UUCCCUGGCUCCGCCCCGGCCCGUCGCCAUGUUGUUCCCUCCGCGCUGGACUGGAGCAGCUGGAGCGGGAGCCUGGCUGCGCUACCGCCGCUGCCUCCUGCUGUGCAGGUCCCCGACCCUCUCUCUGUCCUCAUUGCGCUCAGACGGGCCGGCCUAGAGCUCCCGGGUCGUCUUUCGUGUGGCCGCGAGACACUCUUGCACUCCUGUAAUGAGCCUGGCACUGUGAUGAAACACUUUUCCCGUGUCGUUUGAGUGCAUCUUCUCAACAACCCUAGGAGAACCUUCAAGGAACAUCACCUACCGGAUCCAAGCUUUGCCAGCUUAGCUUUCCUCAUGAUCAGCUCCUAUCUAUCAGCUGUCAGUUCCACCCAUGUGCCCAAGUGCUCUUCACACCUUCACGCCUGCAAUGCUUUCCUGUGCAGCCUACCUUGGAGGUCCCACUCAAUGCUCCACUUCCCUUCCAGCUCCUUUGAAGACUCAGUCACACAUGAAAUUUGGCAUUUAACUUUAGUAAUAUACUCACAAGUGUGUUACUAGUGCCUACCUCACCUUCACCAGCCUGGAGAAAAGGCUAUUUUCAGGGUACCACUGUUGUGCAGCUGAGCCAAGUCUUCCUGCUCUCAAUCACCCUGCUGCUCUUGGCUGCCCUGCAUCACAGCCCUCUGGAUGAUAUGCUCAUUGAGGGAGGGGCCAACUAUAUACAAAAAAAUACACGUUUGCUGAAAUUACUCCUAGAUUUCUAGAUGAGUAUAUAAAUUUUUCUGCUCCCAAAGCUCUGGCAUCUAGUUUGAGUCAAUCUGAGCUCUAUAACAGGUGAAGACAUCAUAUUAGUUUGCAGACUAUCAAUAGGAGAAAUAGGACGAAAGCAGCACUUUAAAAAUGGAUAUUAAACUACCACGAUCUUGAGCAAACAUCUUUAUUUAAGAAAUCAAAUAGGGUAAAAAUUAUGCAAUUUCACACAAGGAUACAAGACAAAGCUUAGAAUUACUUGCUCAAAAGUGAUUCAGAAUGGAACAAAAUUGUUCAAGUGCUCCCAAUUAGCACAGGCUGUAUUACUUGCUUUUCAAUGGACAUUUACUAUUUUACAUUAAGAUCUACUUAUCAUAGGAACAAAGAGACAAUUCCCAGCCCCCUCUGGUGUAUCACCUAAAAGGCUGAAUACAAAUGUUAAUGUAAUCCAAGCUUUUCUUUGACAACAAUACUAAAAAUUGCCUUACAAUUUUUUAGAAGUACGAGUAUCAACAGUUUACUGUCUGAGGGAAAGGAAAUAUAAGAAUAUAAAGUGACAGAAGCAACACACUUCACUGUGGCCUGCAACUGCUCCCAGCCUCCUAUUUUAUAAACAUGAUUUGGGUUCUCACAUUAUAGCAGGAUCACUAUUCCUAGCCUCUGGUGGAAGCAGACAUGUGACACUUAGCACUGCACAAGUGUUUCUUUGGCUUCUUGAGUAGUGCUGUGUAUACUGCCUAUACAUUUUUAUAACAUCUCUAAAUGCAUAAUGUCAGCGUAUGUGCUAUCACAUUUCACUCCCAACUGCAGAAUAUUUUAAUUUUAAAUUUAUCUACCAAAUCUUGACUAUGACAUUUAUUUUUGGGUUGUUACAUUAAGAUCAACCUAUCUGGGCCGGGCACGGUGGCUCACACCUGUAAUCCCAGCACUUUGGGAGGCUGAGGCAGGAGAAUUGCUUGAAGUCAGGAGGCAGAGGUUACGGUGAAACAACUGCCAUUGCACUCCAGCCUGGACAACAGAGCGAAACUCCAUCUCAAAAAAAAAAAAAACCCCAAAGAUCAACCUAUCUGAAUUGGGCAAGUCAAAAGCUUAUUCCUGGCCGGGCACGGUGGUUCAUGCCUGUAAUCCUAGCACUUUGAGAGGCUGAGGCGGGUGGAUCAACUGAGGUCAGGAGUUUGAAACCAGCCUGGCCAAAAUAGCGAAACCCCGUCUCUACUAAAAACACAAAAAUUAGCCAGGUGUGGUGGUACAUGCCUGUAAUCCCAGCUACUCGGGAGGCUGAAGAAGGAGAAUUGCUUGAACCCAGGAGGUGGAGGUUGCAGUGAGCCAAGAUUGUGCCACUGCACUCCAGCCUGCACAACAGGAGCAAGACUCCAUCUCAAAACAAAACAAAACAAAACAAAACAAAAAAAACCCCACAAAAAACCAAAAAGCUUAUUCCCAAUUUUUAAGUAAAAAUAUUUCAUGGCCGGGCGUGGUGGCUCACGCCUGUAAUCCCAGCACUUGCUGAGGUGGGUGGAUCACGAGGUCAGGAGUUCAAGACCAGCCUGACCAAUAUGGUGAAACCCUGUCUCUACUAAAAAAUACAAAAAUUAGCCAGGUGUGGUGGUGCACGCCUAUAAUCCCAGCUACUCGGGAGGCUGAAGAAGGAGAAUUGCUUGAACCCGGGAGGUGGAGGUUGCAGUGAGCCAAGAUCGUGCCACUGCACUACAGCCUGCACAACAUGAGCAAGACUCCAUCUCAAAAAAAAAAAAAGCAAGCUUAUUCCCAAUUUUUAAGUAAAAAUAUUUCAUGGUUGGGCACGGUGGCUCACGCCUGUAAUCCCAGUACUUUGGGAGGCCAAGGCAGGCAGAUCACGAGGUCAGGAGUUCAAGACCAGCCUGACCAAUAUGGUGAAACCCUGUCUCUACUAAAAAUACAAAAAUUAGCCGGGCGUGGUGGCACGCGCCUGUAGUCCCAGCUACUUGGAGGCUGAGGCAGGAGAAUCGCCUGAACCUGGGACGCGGAGGUUGCAGUGAGCCAAGAUUGCGCCACUGCACUCCAGCCUGGCAACAGAGUGAGACUCUGUAUCAGAAAAAAAAAAAAAAGAUUAUUGAUAAUGAGCUCUUUAUAAAUAACACUGUUCACAAGGAAAUACCAAUUGAUCUAUUGAUACGUGACAUGAGACAGAAUGUACUAUUUUUAAAUAUAAAAGGAAUUUCAUUAGGUUUAGAUAAGCUGAGAAUACACAAAAGUUUUCCAGGCUAUUUAAUCAAGUAACUUACAAUGUACACAUUCCUGAGUAUACACCAUUGUGGUGACAUCAUUUAUUCUGGAAUUUUCUGCAUUCAGCUUAAAAGGUGUUUCUUCCCAAGAAACUGAACUUUUCUGUCAAAUGCACUUGAUCGAAUAGGAGAAUUGGGUUCAUAAAAUGGAUUCAUUGAAAACUAGGAAAGAAGAAAGUAUUAGUGAAGCAAAAAAGCUGACAAAUCUUAAGUUUCUGAAAGGAAAUCAUUUUAAAGUUUUAAAUUAAAAACCAAAGACAUUCCAAAGUCUAAAGACCACAUUUUUAAGUUUUAUUGAAAAUGCUGCAUUGUUAAAUACUAACAUCCUCUUAAGGAAAUUUUUAUUUUGGUGUUUUGGUUUUGAGAAGUAUCUGUGGCAAAACUAAUGGCAGUAUGAUAAAUGUUGCCUGUGUCAGUUAACUUUCAGAAUUUACCCUGUGUGUGAAAUACUCAUAUUCAUUAUAAAUAAAUGGAUUAAUAUCUAU